GUGAGCAAUGAGCCAGCCAGAGGAGCACAGGUGAAGGCAAUUCACCUGUGCUGCCAGAAGGGGUGGAGCCUGGCUCCACCUCUCCUAGACCUAUUUAAGAGCUGGCUACCAGUGGGGAAGGAUCUCUUUUGGAGAUUUCCUCUCUGGAGUUUUGUAGUGAGCCCAGAGCACAGGCCAGACUCUGGAGGACUGUUUCCUUGCAAGCAUCCCACCUGUUAUUCACAUGCAUGUCCACCUUCUCUGUAACAGAAGUGUGGGAUUUAAUUAUAACGAGAACAAGCAGCAGAAAAGGUUAUUCUAAUUAUCAGAGGAGGAGCACAUUUAGAAGAUAGAUCCAAAGUCUACUGAUCUCAGCAGAAGCCUUUUUCCACUGACCUAAGCAGGCUUUUGAUCAGAUCCCCAGUUAAGGAAAAUGAUAAUGCUGCUGUUCAGUUUCUUUUUGCUGUAGGCUGCUAGACUGCUGUGUUUCUCACUUGUCUUGAAGUUGGCCCACUGACCAGCCUGGACAAAAAUGCUGGCUCCUUGCCUGCUCUGGUCAUGCUGUCUUUUACACCCUCUCUCAAUUUUCCCUGCUGCUAUUCCUGGUUGCCCUAACUGUUCUCACUGACUCCCAGGAGAAGAGAUGGAUGUUUUACAAGGAAGCAAUGAAGUCAAAUGGCUGAGACAGAAAAAGAAAUCCCUGGAUCUCAGAGCCAUGCAGAGCCAUUGAAAUGUAAAAUCAAGAGGAGAGCAGUGAAGGAUUUAUAAAAAUGGAAAUAGCUUUAAAGGGCCCACCAGAAUGAAAUUGUUCAUGAGUCAUGAGGGACUACCUCUACAAGUGACACAGUUUCUCCUGCUGGUAAGAGAUCUCCAUCCUCCCCAGGAAGUCUGCAGAAGACCAUUUCUGUAAAUUGCAAUUGCAAAGACCAUCACCUGAUAUGACACUGGAGGGCAAAAGUAGCAUUACUUCAAUACAAUCCCAGCAUGAAAAAGUUAACAAAAUGUGCGUCACUGAGAAACCAAUUGUACCUGCAGGGUAAGAAAAGGUCACACACAAAUGCUUGAAAACUGGGCAUGCUGCAUAAACUGUUGAUAGAAAACUCCUUCCUAUUCAUAUGUGAAUAGAUCGAGAGUAAGCACGAUCAGAGCACAAAGAGAAAUAAUUAUGACUAUUUUUCAGAUUAAUAAACUUUACCUAGAUUUUUCUCUCAUUUUUCCACAGUACUCUCUCUACUUAGAUUUUAAGUAGGCCAGAGACUCUCUCCUCUUUCUCUUUCCUCUGUAUAUCAAAAUACUCAGAUUAUUAUUAUUAUUUAUUGCUUUGCAGAAAUAAAAGUAAUGGAAGCUACUGGAUUUCUUUGUCAUGGUAUGCCAUCCCAAAAGAAUUCGGGAGCCUUUCCUCUGAAUUUCAAAACAAAUGUUAUUUGGUUCCAGCAGCUGGAUCAGCUUGUUCUGGAUAUGUUCACAAGCAAAACCAUGGCCUAUGUUGAUUUCAUUAGGUGAGCUCCUAAAGAGCUGCAUCAAGUGCUCUAUGAUGUUACGAAUGGCAAUACUUUAAGUACUGCCUGCAUUGCCUGCUGUUAGAUUAUCUCCACUAAGAAGAAAAAUGUAUAUGGAUGUAUGAAGAGAAAGUGAACUAUUUGUUGUGACAAUCUAUAGCAGCAUGUUGUGUGCUAUUGCUUUGUUAUCCGAUUUUCUGUAACACUGGGAGAGAGACCAUGUUUAAUUCAGGAAUUACUUAUAUAGAUUUGUUUGAAAAAUUUUUAUGGAAAUUCUGCUACUUUUGCCUCUGUCAAAACCAAGGGGCUUUGUAAAACUUCAUUUUAAAAGUAGGCUGUGGAAAUGACACUUUAUCCAGACAUAUCCUCUCCACGUUUUCAAAUGAUGCUUCAGUCAUUGUGUUUUGUCAUCCUGUUUGCAAAGAAUUUGCUGUUUAUUUUUUAAAAACAAAUUUUAUGUUGUAUGAUAUAGUAGAUUAUACGUAGUCAGAAGCACAUUCAUAGCACUCUGAUGUACACUUCAAAUGUUUCAUACAGUAUAUAGUGCAACAUAAUGCAAAAUGAGAAGUCAAAUUUGAAAGGCAAUAGUUCCAACUAUCUUUAAAACACUCGUUUCUGCAGGGAAUUUAAACAUCUUUUAAUAUAGAUUCUUAUUCACAGGAAUGAUGUUCUUUGGCAGGAGAAAGGUUCAUUUUCCUUACAGGUUAGAUUCAAAUCAAAUGAAAAAAUAAAGAACUGCAGGUCAGGAAAACUGCUUAAAAAGAUAAGAAAAAAAGGGAACGCAUUUUUACCUUGACAUUGACAAAGCUAGGAAGGAACAGAAAAGGUUGCUAGAGA